AAAAUAUCAACAAAAAAAAUUAACGCACAAGCACCGAUAAUGUUCCGGAAAUGACUUUUAAAUUUUGUCUUACUACUUGCAAAAUACUAUAACUAUUCCUGGAAUCAUUUAGAACUUGUUUUAAAAAAUACAAGAAUAAACUUCAUAGCCAUCACAUAGUCAGUCACUACAGUAUUCAACGUCAAAUUACAAUGACCCUUUCGUUUGAGACACAUUCGUCCAGCUCUCGUUUUAAAAAAGUGUCUAUUUUUCUAUAACCGUCGUGACAUGUCAUCUUCUUCAAUCUGUCAAUCAGUGAGCUACAGCACUUCGUACAUCUCAGACGUUUGAUAAUUUUAAAUGUCC